CCGCUUGGCAUUUGGUUUUAAGCCUCGCGGUGGACUAGCAGAGCCUGUCAUGUCGUUUGUUUCCCGAUUAUUGAAAAGAAGAGGAUAUAAUGGAUUGAUUGAUACAGGGAUCCAGCAGAUACAGAAAAAGGGACAACACUUCGACUGAAUGCGUCAUCCAUAUACCGGUUCUUGUGAAAAGUGUUUUAUUUGGCACCAUUCAGCUACAAAUACCCAAUGUAAUCUUUGCCGGUGGAAUUGUGACCUCAAUCAAGUGAAUCAACUGCUGCAAAUUGUUUCAAACAUUUUACACCUGCAGGUUAGUACUUAUAAAAUUUUGUUUGAAGGAAAAUAAAGGCUAACAAGAUCUGAAAAUACAAGCCAGAUGUAGUACAAAAGUGUUGAUACAAGUCAUUUAAAAAUUUCAUUUCUUUGCAGUUACUGAUGAGUGCAACAGAAGUUUUUAUCAGGAUCUCGUCCGACAUCAUAGGUACAACUGGUCACUGUGAUUUCUUAAAUAACAGGACAUAUUGUGAAGGCGCCUAGGCAGUUACAUAUGUACACGUGGCUCCAAAUGAUGCUUGACUGUUUUCCUUCACUUAA